CCGCUCCAUCAAUGAUGAAAGUACCAUAUUUUUCCUUGUGACGUUAGCAUAUUCUUCGUUGUGAUACUAACGGCUGUAAGUCUAACAGCCAAUAUUCGUGAUUGCUCACACGCGAAGCCACUGGACACUCAAAAUUCCUCUACUGCUCCAGUAGGAAAACGUUUACGAUGCUCCACUUGUGUGACUUUAUCUAAUAUUGGUAACCAUCUCCUACAAAAUUACCAUUUUGAACACCGAGCAGGAGUCGUUUCUGUUACCUUUCUAUUUCUCACUGCUUAUGCCGAUCGCUUCAAUCUCUCUCUUCCUCCACCGAACCCCCGCGGUCAGCAGCCUCGUCCGCCACAUCACCACCUUUCGCCACCUCUCCAUAGCCGUAGCCAAGCAACAUCAACAACAAAAGAACCCCAACAAUGUCUCUGGAAAACCCCAACUGGACAAGAAUCUCCUCGGAGCCAAGCAUACCUUCAUGGAAUAUUCCUCCCUGGCGCCAAUACUCUCUCUGGAGGACCAAGCUGACCUCUCCGAUUCCCAAGCUAUCGGCACUGUCGCUGCCGCCCAAGCCAACUUCAUGCGCGUUAUCGUCCAAUCACUCCCUUCCUACUCAGAGCUUUCUAGCACCUUCCAGAAAAGCGAAGAAGAAUCUUCUAGUAGUAGCUCCGAUAAGGGUAAAAUUGGUGUUGAGUUGCUGUGUGUGGUGAGGGCGGUGUUGAAGAAGAUAAAGAGGAGGGUGCUGGUAGGGGACAAGGUAGUGGUAGGGUCCAUAGAUUGGGUGGACCGAAGGGGCAUGAUCGAGAAUGUGUUCCAACGGAGAUCGGAGAUUUUGGACCCUCCGGUGGCUAAUGUGGAUCACUUGUUGGUGCUUUUCUCCAUGGAGCAGCCGCAGCUUGAGCCAUUCACCCUUACGAGAUUUCUGGUUGAGGCUGAGUCCACUGGGAUUCCCUUGACGCUUGCUUUGAAUAAAUCGGAGCUUGUUGACGAAGGGGUUAGAAUUUUAGUCUGUUAAUAGUUCAGUGAAUUCUGUUUUUGCAUCAUGGUUAGUUCAUGUUUUAAACUAUUGUAUCAGUAGAGAUGGGUACGUUUUUGUCAUUCAUUUCUGUAAUUUUUGGUACUGAGGCUGCUGGUUGUUUAUUUUGUUUGAAUUUUUGACAAAUAACCAUGAUGAUUAUGCUAAGUUAGAAUGGUGGAUGUUUGCUAUUGGUUAAUUUUGUGAUGACUUGCCUUGCUCUUGAAUUGCACAUGAAAAUAGAUUAAUUUCUGAGGUGGUGCGAACUUGUGGUUUUAGGGCAUCUCUGGUUGAUGUUUCCUGUAGACACUAGCAGUAGCAUAAUAUGAUUAAUGACAGGACCGUUACUUGACCCUGCUUUAGUUUGUUACAAACAUAUAGCCAAAACAAUUUUGAAUUUGAUUUAUAGUGGUUUAGAUUUUGGCAAAUAUAUGCCUCUCCUACCAUAGAUGUAAAAGAUAUAGAAUCUUCAUUAGUAGGUCUCAGGAUCAAACACGGCUAAUAGGAUGGUUUUAUGGGAGGAAGAGAGCUACCCCUUUUUGUUGCUCAUCCGAUGAACAAAAUAAUAAUAAUAAUAAUUUUUUUACUAGCCCGAGUCGUGAGCUGCACAUGGUAAGAGAAAAAUAUCUGAAGUGAUGCUGUUAUUGACAGAGAUAAUGUCUCUGCUGUUACUUGAUCUUGCCUUAGUUUGUCAUCACCAAUGUAUUACCGUAUUAGUGGCAAAACUACAUGGAUCAGGUGCUGUAUUGUACUUGGUGUUGUUAAUUUCAUUAAAAUUUUGUAAUGUUGAUCCUCAUAAGUCACAAGUUUUCUUAUGAUUUUUACUCUUAUCGUGCAUACAAUUACUUGAAAAGCUUCCUAGCCUCUCCUAACCACAGAAGGCAUAUCCAGUGGUAAAAUUUGUUCCAUUUUCAUCCUUUCAUAGUUCCAUUGAUUGUAAAUUUUUAUUCGGCUUAUGUAGACGUUGGUGGCCUGGAAACGUAGACUGCGCAGCUGGGGUUAUGAACCAGUGUUUUGUAGUGUUGAAUCCAAGCGUGGACUUGAUUCUCUUGCUUUUAUUCUGAGAGAUCAAACCACUGUGAUUGUGGGUCCUAGUGGAGUUGGGAAAUCUAGCCUGAUAAAUGUUCUGAGAAACAACCCCCGUGCCUGUGAUGCUGCAGAAGUGGAUAAUUGGUUUGACCCUAUAAUAGGAAGUAAGUGGUUUGAGGAACAGCGUGUUGGGGAAGUUUCAACAAGAAGUGGCAGAGGGAAGCAUACCACUCGUAAUGUUUCUUUGCUUCCACUAUCUGGAGGGGGGUAUCUCGCUGAUACUCCUGGUUUUAACCAGCCUAGUUUGCUUAAAGUAACAAAGCAAUCUCUUGCACAGGCAUUCCCCGAGAUCAGGAAAAUGCUUAGUGCCACUGGACCUGCUAAAUGUACAUUCAGUGAUUGCUUACAUCUUGGUGAGCCUGGGUGCAUUGUGAAAGGGGAUUGGGAAAGAUAUUCCUUCUAUUUUCAACUCCUUGAUGAGAUCAGAAUCAGGGAGGAAUUUCAAUUGAGGACUUAUGGAACCAAAAAGGAGGCUGAUGUAAGGUACAAGGUAGGAGAUAUGGGCGUGCAGCAAGCAGAGCCUCGUUUGGAGCCCAAGAAGCACAGAAGACAGUCUCGCAAAAGGAUCAACCAAUCAAUCCUGGAUGAGUUGGAUGAACUGGAUGAUGACGACAACUUACAAAGGAAUGGAAAUCACUCGGAAUUUUUAACUCUCGGAGUACCUGGUAAAUCAUCAUUUUUUUGACAAGCUUCCUCAUCACAUAGAUUGAGCUCAAUUUGUAUUGAUCAGAAUCGGAGGCUAAUCAGCUUUGUUCUAAACCGGGUGCCAUUCAAUGAUUGGCAGCUAACAUGAAUGAUUCUAUUGUCGUGCUUGAUUGUUAACACAGAGGUUGUGGCCGUAAUGUUGCUUUUACAGAGAUAGGCGGCCCACCAAAGGAACUGGGUAAUUGAAUUGUUAACAUCAACACUAAAAAACACACAGAGCCUGAUUCGAAAAGCACUUCUUUCCUGGGAGUGAAUCAUUUUAGAUACAUUUCAAGCACAAUCGUUAUUCACAUAGUAAUUAGUAUUUAGUAAUAACAUCAAAUUUUCAACAAAGUUGGGGUUACUGCUUACCGGUGUAAGGAGGUUCCCAAGAACUUCAAAACAUGGAAUAAAAUCAACAGACGUAACAGCCCAAGGAAAAAACUGCAGGGGAUAAUUUGGAAGCUCACCAGCAUUUCAAAGUUUGAGAUUUCAACUAAGUGGCAACUCUUUAGCAAUCACUUCCGGGAGAAAAAGAGAUGUAUACAAAUAUCUAAAUAACUGCUCAUCCUAAAUAUAUAUAAUCUCAUAGAACAACCAACUAAA
rnacentral:misc_RNA from 1 species